rnacentral:rRNA from 1 species
CCUACGGGCGGCAGCAGUGGGGGAUAUUGCACAAUGGGGGAAACCCUGAUGCAGCGACGCCGCGUGUGGGAAGACGGUCUUCUGGAUUGUAAACCACUGUCCCCAGGGACGAAAAAGACAGUACCUGUAGAAUAAGCUCCGGCUAACUACGUGCCAGCAGCCGCGGUAAUACGUAGGGAGCAAGCGUUAUCCGGAUUUAUUGGGUGUAAAGGGUGCGUAGACGGAGAAGCAAGUUAGUUGUGAAAUCCCUCGGCUUAACUGAGGAACUGCAACUAAAACUACUUCCCUUGAGUACUGGAGAGGAAAGUGGAAUUCCUAGUGUAGCGGUGAAAUGCGUAGAUAUUAGGAGGAACACCAGUGGCGAAGGCGACUUUCUGGACAGUAACUGACGUUGAGGCACGAAAGUGUGGGGAGCAAACAGGAUUAGAUACCCGAGUAGUC